rnacentral:rRNA from 1 species
CAGAAGCGUAUAUUAAAGUUGUUGCAGUUAAAAAGCUCGUAGUUGAACCUUGGGCUUGGCUGGCCGGUCCAUCUUUUUUGAUGCGUACUGGACCCAGCCGAGCCUUUCCUUCUGGCUAGCCUUUUGGCGAACCAGGACUUUUACUUUGAAAAAAUUAGAGUGUUCAAAGCAGGCCUUUGCUCGAAUAUAUUAGCAUGGAAUAAUAGAAUAGGACGUUAUGGUUCUAUUUUGUUGGUUUCUAGGACCAUCGUAAUGAUUAAUAGGGACGGUCGGGGGUAUCAGUAUUCAGUUGUCAGAGGUGAAAUUCUUGGAUUUACUGAAGACUAACUACUGCGAAAGCAUUUACCAAGGACGUUUUCAUUAA